UCUUUUAAUUUAGUCUUUUCCUCCCACAAAUCAUUUUUAAAUUAAAUCAAAUUGCUAAAAGGUCACCAGGGAGCUCUAAGUGGUCUUUUGAGAUUGAGUCCAUAUCCUUUUGGCUCCCAUUUGUUUGAAUGUUCGAAGCCUUUAAUGCUUGUUGCUGUUUAUUUUUUAUAGACAUCACUCUAUGUGGUUCAAACUAUUAAUUUUGUUAACAGAAUCAUGAAGUGCCUUGUUGGCUUAGGAUCCAGUGGUUGGGAACCCCAAGUUGAUUGUCUUUGCCUUGACAAGUGUGUAUCACUGGAGUCUCCCUGUGUUCCCGCGCAAGGUUUCCAUCAGGCCUGACCAUUAUUUGGCCAGCUGAAAAAGAGACGGGACAAAAAUUAAUAAAACAUGUUGCAGCAAAGCAAUUUCCUUUUGCCUUUCCGUGUCCUGUUUCCCCACUUCAUUUCACCUUUUGUCCCUCAAAAGUAUUAAUUCCCAAAUUAAAAAUGUCUGCAAUGUGAUAUGGCUUAGGGUUUUUAAGUGAGUCUGGGAGUUGAAAUUGGAGAGGCGAUGGGAGUUUGGAGUCUGAACUCAAAGCUUCCAUGGACUGUAAUAAGCAAACAAACAAUCCAGGUGAGUUGAAGAGGAAGAGUUGUCUAGUGGUCCUAGCAAGGGGAACUGAAAGUCAGGACUCCUGGGUUCUAUUUUCAGAUGGGACACAAGCUUGCUUUUAGGCUUUUUUUUUUUUUGGACAUGCUAAAUAGUGUAAAUUUUAGAUUGUGAGCUGCCAGGAGCAGAGACUGUCUCAGUAUUAUUUGUACAGUAUUUGCAUAGGUAGGAAUAUGAAGGGGAUUCUGAUGAUCAUGUAUCUGGUCUCUCUUGCCUCAGUGUCCCCAUCUCAAAGAGUGGUUGUCGUGCUAAAUGAAUAAAUGUUUGUGAAAUAUAUUAAGGUGCUAUUAUUACACCCAUAACCUAUGUCUUGGGUGUUUAAAUGACUGUAAGGUCUCUCCAGGCAGCUGAGAAUAGCUGGAUUGUCCUUGCUGUCCUUCUUGAGGCUCCCAUAGCAUCUAUUCAAGGGGAAGCAGUUCUCCAGUUAGGAUGCUCAUCUAUAGCCCUCCCUUUGUCGGGAUACACAAGGCAGUACCUCUGUAGCUCAAUCCACAGCCCUUCUGAUCAGUUCCCUUUAAAACCAUUUUUGGCCUUUUUUCCCCACA